rnacentral:tRNA from 2 species
GGGCCCAUGGCGCAGUUGGUAGCGCGUCGGUAUGGCAUACCGAAGGUCGCGAGUUCAAGUCUCGCUGGGUCCACCA